rnacentral:rRNA from 1 species
UACGAAGGGGGCGAGCGUUGUCCGGAUUUACUGGGCGUAAAAGCGCGCAGGCGGUCGUACAAGUCGCGUGUGAAAGCCCCCGGCUCAACUGGGGAGGGUCACGCGAUACUGUUCGACUCGAAGGCAGGAGAGGGAAGUGGAAUUCCCGGUGUAGUGGUGAAAUGCGUAGAUAUCGGGAGGAACACCAGUGGCGAAGGCGACUUCCUGGCCUGUUCUUGACGCUGAGGCGCGAAAGCUAGGGUAGCAAACGGG